UCCCCGUUGUCCGGGGCAGUUUCGCUAGAGUGCUCAGCUUAACCUGUUAGCAACUAACGAUAAGGGUUGCGCUCGUUGCGGGACUUAACCCAACACCUCACGGCACGAGCUGACGACAGCCAUGCAGCACCUGUGCAGCAGUCCCGAAGGAAAGAUCCAUCUCUGGAUCGGUCUACUGCAUGUCAAGCCUGGGUAAGGUUCUUCGCGUUGCAUCGAAUUAAACCACAUGCCCCACUGCUUGUGCGGGUCCCCGUCAAUUCUUUUGAGUUUCAGCCUUGCGACUGUACUCCUCAGGCGGUAUACUUAACGCGUUAGCUCCGGCACAACUAGGGUUGAGUCCAGUUACACCAAGUAUACAUCGUUUACAGCAAGGACUAC
rnacentral:misc_RNA from 1 species